GACAGAGGGUGCAAACGUUGUUCGGAAUUACUGGGCGUAAAGGGUGCGCAGGCGGUUAUAUAAGACAGAUGUGAAAUCCCCGGGCUCAACCUGGGAACUGCGUUUGUGACUGUAUGACUAGAGUACGGUAGAGAGGGGUGGAAUUCCUGGUGUAGCAGUGAAAUGCGUAGAUAUCAGGAGGAACAUCGAUGGCGAAGGCAGCCCCUUGGACCUGUACUGACGCUCAUGCACGAAAGCGUGGGGAGCAAACAGG
rnacentral:rRNA from 1 species